UUAAAGAAAAAAAACCCCAAUUCCCUUCCAUUAAUUAGCCUUCUCUUACCAGCAGCAGGAAAGUCAGCUCAAUUCAGCCUCCAUCCCUGACUUCCAUCAGCCACAGAAGGCCCAACCCCAGUCUCAGAUCUACUCCACUCCAGCGCUAUAGUUGUAGCAGGAGUUUUCCUGCUCAUCCACUUCUACCCUUUAAUAUAAAAUAAACUAUCAAUCCAAACCUUCACAUUAUGUCUAGGGGCUAUUACU
rnacentral:lncRNA from 1 species